rnacentral:rRNA from 1 species
UGAGGAAUAUUGGUCAAUGGGCGCAGGCCUGAACCAGCCAAGUAGCGUGAAGGAUGAAGGCUCUAUGGGUCGUAAACUUCUUUUAUAUGGGAAUAAAGUUGAGUAUGUAUACUUUUUUGUAUGUACCAUAUGAAUAAGGAUCGGCUAACUCCGUGCCAGCAGCCGCGGUAAUACGGAGGAUCCGAGCGUUAUCCGGAUUUAUUGGGUUUAAAGGGAGCGUAGGUGGAUUGUUAAGUCAGUUGUGAAAGUUUGCGGCUCAACCGUAAAAUUGCAGUUGAAACUGGCAGUCUUGAGUACAGUAGAGGUGGGCGGAAUUCGUGGUGUAGCGGUGAAAUGCUUAGAUAUCACGAAGAACUCCGAUUGCGAAGGCAGCUCACUAGACUGGUGACUGACACUGUGGCUCGAAAGUGUGGGUAUCAAACAGG